UUCUCUAUCAAAUUCAAAAUUUUGGAUAACUUUGCCCCCACCAAAAUUUUCAAUUGUUUUUUGUUUUACUUUUGUUUUCCACGUGUACACAACACUUUUAAAAUUAACACUUUCAGUUUCCACUUCUUCGGACUUCUUCCAUUUUUUAUGCUCUUUAUAUCUAACCGGAAUUUUUCUCCGACGUUACCACCGUACCGGAAUUCUCCUUCCGCCGUCGUCUUCUUCUCCGUCAAAGCAUGAAGGCACUGGUCUUGGUCAUUGCAUUGUCUGGAAAUUGGUGAGUUAGAUCUUAAACAAGUAAAGUGUGAUAUCAUUCAUAAUAAAUGGUAUUGAUAAAAUGACACUGUUGUUUAUUUUAGAAGAGUAAAAUAGAGUUCCAUGCCAUGGUUUAGAAAUUGACUUUGAGUAAGUCCUUUUCUAUUACUAAGUAGAUGGUGAGUUUGUUCCCAUCAUAGUGUUUAUUGUUGAUUGCCGAAAAACGUGAGAAUAUUUAGGAGUAUGUUGAAACCAAAUUUGAGUUAUGCAAAAUCGACAGAGAUUGUAUAUCGCUAAACAUGAAGUUGAAGUAGACAUUGACGAUUAACUAGAUGACAUGAUUAGUGAUAUUGGUUAAAAGUCUUUUCAACAACAUAUGGAUGAUACUUUGAGCAAAGCAGUGACACGGAAUAGUUCUUUUAUUUGAUGUACAAUAUUUUUCACACAGUUUAUUGUUGAUGGACAAAAGUUUCAGUGAAAUUUUUAACUUGUUUAAAGACAUGCUUUCAAAAUUUAAUACAUUGUCGUAUUGUAAUUAUGAGUAGAAGAAGAUUUUUUGACCGAUGGAUAUCAGGUAUUAGAAAUUGUGUAUGCCCUUAUGAUUAUAUAUUGAGAAAAAAAAUUGAAGA